UACGGAAGGGGCAAGCGUUGUUCGGAAUCAUUGGGCGUAAAGGGCGCGUAGGUGGUUCUGUAUGUCUACCGUGAAAGCGUACGGCUCAACCGUAUUGUGUCGGUAGAAACUGCAGGACUUGAGGCUGGGAGGGGCUGGUGGAAUUCCCUGUGUAGCGGUGAAAUGCGUAGAGAUGGGGGAGAACACGCGUGGCGAAGGCGGCCAGCUAGACCAGUUCUGACACUGAGGCGCGACAGCGUGGGGAGCAAACAGG
rnacentral:rRNA from 1 species